AAUUCGCGUUCCUGUGGAGCGAGAUGAAAUCGCAGCGCGGUUGCUCCGCCCCGGCGCCGUUACCGCGCUGCGCUCAUUAGUUUAAGAAUGAGGCUUUGCUCUCGGAGAUGGAGGUGGAGGAUCCCUCCGCUCCGCUCCGAAUGCUUGUAGAGCCCAUGAUUUCUACGCCUCUACACUCUCAUCACUCUCUCUCUCUUCAUCUUCUUCUUCUUCUUCUUCUUCUUCGUAAGACCUAAUGUGUGGGCGGUGAUGAUUGAUCAUAAAGUCUAGUACCAGAUAUGGAGUCGUCGAGCUGUGAUCGUUCGUCAGGCGAGGCGACCACCAGGGAGGACUCUUCGCCGGUGGUCGCAGCCACGAAUCGACGCACCUCCCCCUCUGUUUCUGACAAAAGGCGAAUCUGAGCCUUCCAUCCUCUUCGCUCUUCGCUCUCCGCGAAUGCGUUCUUUUUCAUCGCUUCCAUGUUAUCUCUCCCUCUCUCAAUUUAUUAUUGGGAUUUGAACCGACGACCUCUUAACAGUGACCUAUUUUCAGUCGACGAUGGUUUCGUUCUCUUUUAGGGUUUGUUAUCUGUUCGUUGUUUAAGUUGCAUGAUUGCUUCUGCUUUUUUUUUUUGCCAGAUUCGAGGAAAAUCUAACAUUCUUCCUUCGCUUGCUGAUGUUGAACAAUGUGAUUGAUUGCAUACUCUCUUCUCGUCUCGAAAGGCCUUCUUCGGCUUAGCCGUUGGUUUCUACGGCGAGUGCGAGACUUGAAAAAGAGACUUCGAUGUGUUUCUAUGUUCUUAUUGGUCAUGAGAUUGGUCAACAGGUAUGAUAAAUUGACUUAGGUGAUGAUAAUUAAGAGAGCGAACUGGGUUCAUAUGUAGUUGUUUUGUCUAUCAUUGGGUAAGAAUAAUGAGUUAAUUUGUAUAUGUUAAGAAUGAAGAUAAUUUAUGAACAAUUACCCUGUAUUUUCCUUGGUCAAUUGUUUUCUUGGUGCGCGACUCUGAAAAUAUAUCAGUAGUAAGAGAAUAUUGAUACAUGGGUUUUAAUCCCACCCCAAGCUCAGUGGAACUUGCCCAAUCGCCACAGUAUAAGUUUACCUGCACCAGCACAACCAUUCAUUCAUGACCCUGUUUCUACAUUGAAAUUUCAUAGAAAAGUAUUCAAAUACUAAACAUCCUAUGGAAAACUCAAGUCCUAUCUUGGCCUGUAUCAAGAUGAAGGAAGAGAAACUCAAUUUUAUCGAGGCUUUAGAUGGGAUGAUUUUAUGAGGCUUAGCUAAUCACUAAAGUUGGAGUGAAAAAAGAAACAAGCUGGAGGAGAAAACUUGAGUAAAGUUAUAAUCAGUAAAGAGCUUGAUAACAUAGACGCAAAGAAUGAUAAAUCUUGUAAAAACAUUGAUGACAGCCAGAGUGGGAAUCAGGUGAUAAUCAGAUGCUAGAUCUGGUGGGAGGUCACAGACUCACAGUUAUGCAUUUGUCCAUGAAGGGGAAAUGAAGGUUUCCAUUGAAGAGGUAAUUCUGGUCUAAACAGCUUUUGUUCUACUUUCUUAAAACUAGUUAUAUAUUCAUUUGAUCUCAAUGAAGCAACUUGAACUUGGCAAUUGAGGGAUCCAAGCAACUUAAACUUCUUGACAGUCUUGAAAGUGAGUCUCUUCAUUUUUAGUUCUUCUUGAUAAUAAGCCAUACUCUAGUUAAUCCAUGCACCGUUAUAUGAUGUAUGCAUAGCAUGAACUACUACUAUCUAAUUGGCCAAUGCAUGAUUAUUAGACUAUGCACUUAUAUAUGCAGAAUCGAGAUACCUCUGAAACCAAUGCAAGUUGGAUAUCAUCAACGAGAAAAUGAUCAAACCACAGAGAAUUCUGAUGAAAUUUUUUCUCAAGAACCACUUGCCGAUGUAAUUUCAUCCUCUACAAGCCAUCAUCAUCAAUGAGCAUUAUAGUGGAAUCGGUGUUCAAUCUUUUACAUGUUCUGUCAUUUUUUAAUUUUUAAUUAACUAAACUAUCAUGUUUUGCACUUUCAAAUCCUCUUUUUAGGUCUGAAAGUUGCAAUAAUUAUUGGGAUGGGACUCUUAUUCUCCUUGCUAGAUAAAAGGGUAGAAGAAGGGAAAUCUUUGGUAGCCCGAUUCUGUCCUUGUAUACCAGUUAUUUAUUAUCUUCCACCACAAAUUCCGUACAUUUCUCCCCUUCCCUAAUGAAAAAUGGGAUUCAUACAACCAAGGAUGCAUUUCUGCUUGCAUGGCACCAUAAUUUGACAUGAAAAGAAUGCAUGUACAUUAAUCUGCCUAGUUUGAAUCAGAUGGAUUUUGAUUCAUGCCCUUAUAUUCAAUGGAUGGAAGCUGUCACUUCCUCAAAUUGCAAUCCGGUUUACUUCCCCCACUCUAUUUUCUUACAACCACAUAUGCAUGUAGCAAAAUUUAAUCCUUCAUACAGAGUGUGUCAUUAAUGUAGCGAGCAAUUUUUUCACCAUGCAAUUGUAAAUGUUUUUGCCUUGGUUUAGUAAAUAUUGCAUGUGGUUGUAUGUUUCAAAUAAUGCCAUGUUAAGUUGGCUUGGCCACAUGUUGGCAAAGACAGGUUCAUUCUCAUACAACAUUCAUUUCGUUGCUGUUUGGUAGGUCCUUUGCUUAAUGUGUUGCUCUUCUGUCUGCAUUAUCAGGUCUCUGUUAGAAGUAUUCUUGUUUGAUGUGCUUCCAUUUGGACAACUCUGAUCUCUUUUAGACUCCUAUGCUUCGGCAUUGUUUCAUGGUUUAACUACUUUUCCUUCUUUUCAAACGCUAUGUUUGGCAGAGUAAUGAAAUCUGUAAUGCUUAUCUAGAUUUUGGUGUGGCUAAUGGAAGGCUCAAUUGACUAAUGGUAUUUGAUUUUAAGUUUCCAUUUAGAUUCUGGAUUUUGCCACCGACCCUGUUUUGAGAUAUAGAAGGGAAUUUUUUUAUUUUCAAAAAGUGAGCGCCUUUAUUGAGAUAAUUCACUUGUGAAUCUCGAUAUUAUUUUAAUUAAUAAUGUUCUUUUCACUUCCAUCAA